CGCUGAUCUGCACAGCUGGGGGCUCCCAAUGGCAGGAGCAUCCUCACUGUCCUGUGCCCUCCCCACCUCCGCCUGUCCUGGGGGGAGCGCAGGAUCCUGGGCUGUGUCCCCCGGCGCCCUGGGA
rnacentral:miRNA from 1 species